ACGUCUGACGACAACAUGAAGCAAGACCACUAAGAUCCAGGAUGACAUGAUCCGAAGUUGUGGGACGAUCUCUGAUGAUCAGGCAGCAACAUGAAGCUAGACUAUUCAGUCUCAACCUGGCAAUGCUCAGUGUUAUGGAGGUAUUGGCCAGGAAGCCGCGGACAGCUGAGGGAUGUACACCGUGUGAUUCUAAUGACCCAACUGGACACGUAUCAGACUCUACAUAGCCUUGCGUAGGCGUUUUUGCUUCAGUUCUUUUUAUUUUCUUCUUGCUGUUACUUUGAGAGUUGUACUUGCACUACUUCAGUUCCUUCAUCAGAAAAAAAAGAUAUGUCCAUCAUUUGCAGAGAAAAAAAGUUCUGCCAAUUUC